rnacentral:lncRNA from 11 species
GGGAGGGGGCGGUCCCGUGGGUCCGGUUGCUAGGAGACGCCGUCAACAAUGGGGGCCGGCCUGGACGUCUUUGGGAGGGAGGCAGUGGGGGGCGAUUGUGGCUCUUGUAGUCCUCCCGCGGUCCGCUGCAGCGCUCCUCCACGGUCCGCCUCCUCCUCCUCCAGAUCUCUCGGGAAGAUAGCGGUCAGCCUUGGCCAUGUCUGCAGACGUCUGGGUCGGAAGCUGGCGGCCUCACCGGCCCCGAGGGCCCAUUGCAGCCCUUUACAGUAGCCCAGGACCCAAGUACGGGCUCCCGACCAAUGUAGGUGAGUGGACGCUCAGGAAGCAUUGCCUCGCGGUUCAGUGGGGUUUCUCAUCCGCUUCGGGGUUUUGAAGGAGCUUCAAAAGAGGUAGAGAAGCUUGGGUGGCUUCUUUAAAGUUUGGGUUCCCACUCAGAGCAAAGGAAAAGAAAGGUUCAGGGUGCAUCUACACUGUAGAAUGAAUGCAGUUUGACACCGAAUUCAUGGCAUGGAAUCAUGGGAUUUGUAGUUUGGUGAGGUUCUUCUAAAACUACAACUCU